GACGAACCGUGCGAACGUUGUUCGGAAUCACUGGGCUUAAAGGGCGCGUAGGCGGGUGUGCAAGUCUGUGGUGAAAGCCUCCAGCUUAACUGGAGAAGUGCCAUGGAUACUGCACAUCUUGAGGAGGGUAGGGGCAUCUGGAACGGUCGGUGGAGCGGUGAAAUGCGUUGAUAUCGACCGGAACUCCGGUGGCGAAGGCGAGGUGCUGGACCCUUUCUGACGCUGAGGCGCGAAAGCCAGGGGAGCAAAGCGGGG
rnacentral:rRNA from 1 species